rnacentral:rRNA from 1 species
AGGACGAACGCUGGCGGCGUGCUUAACACAUGCAAGUCGAGCGGAAAGGCCCUUCGGGGUACUCGAGCGGCGAACGGGUGAGUAACACGUGAGCAACCUGCCCUUAGCUCUGGGAUAGCUCCGGGAAACCGGAAUUAAUACCGGAUACGACCUAGGCCGACAUCGGCCAUGGUGGAAAGUUUUUCGGCUAGGGAUGGACUCGCGGCCUAUCAGCUAGUUGGUGGGGUAAAGGCCUACCAAGGCGACGACGGGUAGCCGGCCUGAGAGGGCGACCGGCCACACUGGGACUGAGACACGGCCCAGACUCCUACGGGAGGCAGCAGUGGGAAUCUUGCGCAAUGGGCGAAAGCCUGACGCAGCGACGCCGCGUGGGGGAUGAAGGCCUUCGGGUUGUAAACCCCUUUCAGCAGGGACGAAGCGAAAGUGACGGUACCUGCAGAAGAAGCGCCGGCUAACUACGUGCUAGCAGCCGC